UACGUAGGGUCCGAGCGUUGUCCGGAAUUAUUGGGCGUAAAGGGCUCGUAGGCGGUCUGUUGCGUCGGGAGUGAAAACUUACAGCUUAACUGUGAGCGUGCUUCCGAUACGGGCAGACUUGAGGUAUUCAGGGGAGAACGGAAUUCCUGGUGUAGCGGUGAAAUGCGCAGAUAUCUGGAGGAACACCGGUGGCGAAGGCGGCAUCCUGGACCGGCAUUGACGCUGAGGCGCGAAAGCCAGGGGAGCAAACGGG
rnacentral:rRNA from 1 species